rnacentral:tRNA from 1 species
GGUGGCACAGUGGUUAAGUGUUUAACUUCUAACUAAAAGGUCGGUGGUUCAAACCCACCAGCCA